GGGUAUUUUCCGUUUACUGACAUCAGACUCAGGAAGGAAAGUUCUAUUUUCGAAGAUGCUGUGGCAGAGAGGGGAAGUUGCUUUCUUACCAGUAUGUGGCCAAGCCAGGCUCUGACCUCACCCAAGUUCUUGGUCCUUGUGCUGUGAUGGCGACCGUGGACGGCAGUGCAGCGUGGAGGAUUUACUGAGACCCGAAGGUAGGGGUGUGUAGUUCAGUAGGCCGGGGAUGAAGACAGCAUGAGCACCGCCUGGGGAGCUUGUUAAAGCUGCAGCGUCACAGCCACCCCAGGAGUACGGGUCCUUAGGCUGGAGGUUUGGGAGGCAAAGUUUUAACAAUCACCCCAGGACGUUCUGAAGUAAGAGGACCUGUGGUCUCACACUGAGAAGUGGCUGUGGUCCUCAGAAUAAUUAGAAUAAUGAGUAGCUGUGGGGGGAUGAGGUCACUACUGACCUCCUCCCUCCCUUGUUCACCCGGCUUGUCAUAUUUGUGGCUGUUUGCAGCCUGUGGGGCAGAAGUAAUGAGCUGACAUCAUGUCUCUUUCAACUGUUCCUUUUACACAUCACAGUGGCUGCAAGGAAUCAAUUGAUCUGUAUUCUCAAGUCGGUUCUGACAGCAGAUCUCUAUGUUCCUGAUCACCCUACCAGAAGAAAAGAAACUCCAGAACGGAUAACAGUAGAAAAGUAAGCUUUGAAAAACUUCAGGGCAGAAUCAAAUAAAUUCUAGGUCUGCAGAAUCUCACCCACACUCAUUGACGCCACCUACCAGCCUGUUUCCCCAUUCCACAGCCGAAGCUCAUUAUGAUCGCAAGUAGGCGGAGUAUAUGGGGCUUUAAAAGGCUGAAAAUAGUGGAAGAAUGUGUAUGUCUCUUCCAAAGAGACAAUGAGGACAAGAGAUGCCUGUGCCCCAGGACAGCUUUGCUAGUCAGGUCUGCCAAAAAGUGAGAGAGAAAAAAAGGAGGAAAAAGAGGAGAGGAUGCUUUCAGAGCUUCUGAAAAGGAGGACAUGAACUUUUGGUUAGUCCCUCUCAGAUGAACAGUUUAGAAGAGGUAAGAAAUGUACACAAACGACAAUCAAAGUACAAGAUGGUAACAAGCGCCAUAAGAGAAGUACAAGUAUCUUGAAACAGGUAUAAAGUUUGAUGAGCAGAUGAACAAAAAGGUAUUUGAAACUCUAAGACCUGAUGCCCAACAACUGGAUCAACAGGAUGAAGUCGGAACCUGAGCUCUUCAGGUUGCCAGAAUCCCCCCAUUUCCCAUUUUUCUUAUACCCGAUACUUUUCCUUUUGGUUAAUGAAAGUGUUUGUCAUUCAGUUGUGUCUUACUCUUUGCAACCCCAUGUAC
ensembl:lncRNA